CUCUGCUAUAGUCCAUCCAUAAUGCACUGCCCUCCUGCCCAGGGGAAGCCCUCAGUCUGGACUGUUUCACUUAGCCCCAGCCGCUCACCUCGCACUGGGCCUGACCUCCAGGCACAGAAGUGUUCCCAAAAAGAGAAACAGGGAAGACUCUGUGUAUAAGGCACGGGCAUGAGGCGGCAGAGGAGGAGCGCACUGAGAUGCUGAGCAGCGCACCACACCGCGGGAACACCCGCGCAUCUUCCCAGGGAACUAACUCGCCGGCCCCGCCCUGGGGAGCACGGAGGGUGCUCCCAUGCUCUGUGCCAUCCCCACUUUCCACCGCAGACUUCCUGCCAUCCUCACCAUGUCACCUGCUGAGUAGGAGUGCUCCCUGGACCCGGGCUGGUGGGUGCCCAGGAGCCGCGCAGGACUGGCCCGGCAGGCUGCCCCCGCAACAGUGGAAAUCUUGAUGGGAAGAUCCUCAUGUGGAAGGAUAGUGGAACCCAAGUCUGGGCCGACCAUCCACAGCAUCCAGAGAAGUCCCAGUGAUGCACAAAAUGCCAACCUUUAAGCCACCAACGCCCACCAGUAGGAGGAUUUAAGGGCCGGUCCCUGUGUCCAGCACAUCACCCAGGCCUGUUCUCUUAAUGGACCCAACAACCCAGUGAGAUGGGACCAGCCAUGAGCAGUGUCCCCAUCAUACAGCUGAGUCCAGGCCCAAAUCAGAAAAACAUCAAAAUCAUGUGACUUCAGAGGCUGUAACCCAUUCCUGUGACAGGUAAUCAGGUAUGACUAAGAGUGAAAUCAGGUGAUGUGGAAUCAGAUGAAACCCCCCCGACCUCCGACAAGUUUCCAAA